rnacentral:rRNA from 1 species
GACGAACGCUGGCGGCGUGCUUAACACAUGCAAGUCGAACGGAAAGGCCCUGCUUUUGUGGGGUGCUCGAGUGGCGAACGGGUGAGUAACACGUGAGUAACCUGCCCUUGACUUUGGGAUAACUUCAGGAAACUGGGGCUAAUACCGGAUAGGAGACCCUGCUGCAUGGUGGGGGUUGGAACGUUUCGGCGGUUGGGGAUGGACUAGCGGCUUAUCAGCUUGUUGGUGGGGUAGUGGCUUACCAAGGCUUUGACGGGUAGCCGGCCGGAGAGGGUGACCGGCCUCCUGGGGCCUGCGAUACGGCCCAGACUCCUACGGGAGGCAGCGGUGGGGAACAUUGCACAAUGGGCGCACGCCUGAUGCAGCAGCGCCGCGUGCGGGAUGACGGCCUUCGGGUUGUAAACCGCUUUCGCCUGUGACGAAGCGUGAGUGACGGUAAUGGGUAAAGAAGCACCGGCUAACUACGUG